GUGGCACGUGUGUACCUACCUUAAUCUGGGGGAUAGCCUCUCGAAAGAGAGAUUAACACCGCAUAACAUUACCGGACAGCAUUUUUUGGUAAUCAAAUAUUUAUAGGAUUAAGAUGGGCAUGCGGAACAUUAGCUAGUUGGUAAGGUAAUGGCUUACCAAGGCUACGAUGUUUAGGGGAUCUGAGAGGAUGACCCCCCACACUGGUACUGAGACACGGACCAGACUCCUACGGGAGGCAGCAGUAAGGAAUAUUGGUCAAUGGGCGCAAGCCUGAACCAGCCAUGCCGCGUGCAGGAAGACGGCCCUACGGGUUGUAAACUGCUUUUGUACCGGAAUAAACCCUUUUACGUGUAAGAGGCUGAAUGUACGGUAAGAAUAAGGAUCGGCUAACUCCGUGCCAGCAGCCGCGGUAAUACGGAGGAUCCAAGCGUUAUCCGGAUUUAUUGGGUUUAAAGGGUGCGUAGGUGGCCUAUUAAGUCAGGGGUGAAAGACGGUAGCUUAACUAUCGCAGUGCCUUUGAUACUGAUGGGCUUGAAUGAACUAGAGGUAGGCGGAAUGUGACAAG
rnacentral:rRNA from 1 species